GACGUAGGGGGCAAGCAUUAUUCGGAAUUAUUGGGCGUAAAGCGCUCGUAGGCGGGACUGGAAGUCCGUGUUGAAAGACCUCGGCUCAACUGAGGGACCGGCUCGGAUACUCUAGUUCUUGAGGCAAUCAGAGGGUGAUGGAAUUCCCGGUGUAGCGGUGAAAUGCGUAGAGAUCCGGAGGAACACCAAAGGCGAAGGCAGUGUCCUGGGGAGUACCUGACGCUCAGGUGCGAAAGCCAGGGGAGCGAACGGG
rnacentral:rRNA from 1 species